AUAAGAUAACCUUGUAAGCAUUUUGGUUCACCGGAUAAACUAAGUGCCCGUUGCUAGUUGUCUAUUGCAUAGUCAAUGAAAUUGAAGUAAAACUGAACCAUACCUAGAUUGCUCCACUCGACCACACUGUCAUGAUCUGAUACCAUUCCCUAUCAAUUUGAACCUGAAUCUGAUCUUUAAUGAUCACGUCUGCAUCAAAUUUGAACUCAUAGAUACCCUAAAAUACUUGGAUUUUCUUAUUCAUUUUGAUCACUCUUGUUAAUCCAAGUAGCUGACUCUCCUUAUUAGAGCAGUUAACCCGAACCCAAACCUAGACUUU
rnacentral:sRNA from 1 species